rnacentral:rRNA from 1 species
AGGAAUAUUGGUCAGUGGACGCAAGUCUGAACCAGCCAUGCCGCGUGAAGGAUGAAGGUCCUCUGGAUUGUAAACUUCUUUUAUCUGGGACGAAAACGGGAUUUUUAUCUCAAUUGACGGUACCAGAGGAAUAAGCACCGGCUAACUCCGUGCCAGCAGCCGCGGUAAUACGGAGGGUGCGAGCGUUAUCCGGAUUUACUGGGUUUAAAGGGUGCGUAGGUGGGCUUAUAAGUCAGUGGUGAAAUCUCCGAGCUUAACUUGGAAACUGCCGUUGAUACUAUAGGUCUUGAAUUAUCUGGAGGUAAGCGGAAUAUGUCAUGUAGCGGUGAAAUGCUUAGAUAUGACAUAGAACACCUAUUGCGAAGGCAGCUUACUACAUAUAAAUUGACGCUGAGGCACGAAAGCGUGGGGAUCAAACA